rnacentral:rRNA from 1 species
CCUACGGGGUGCAGCAGUGGGGAAUAUUGGGCAAUGGGCGCAAGCCUGACCCAGCAACGCCGCGUGAAGGAAGAAGGCCCUCGGGUUGUAAACUUCUUUUGUCAGGGACGAAACAAAUGACGGUACUUGACGAAUCAGCCACGGCUAACCACGUGCGAGCAACCGCGGUAAUACGUAGGUGGCAGGCGUUAUCGGGAUUUACUGGGUUUAAAGGGUGCGUUGGCGGUCCGUUAAGUCAGCGGGAAAAUUGCGGGGCUAAACCCCGUCGAGCCGUUGAUACUGGCAGACUUGAGUUGGCGAGAGGUGCGCAGAAUGCGCGGUGUAGCGGUGAAAUGCGUAGAGAUCGGGCAGAACUCCGAUGGCGAAGGCAGCGUACCGGCGGCAGACUGACGCUGAGGCGCGAAAGCGUGGGGAUCGAACAGGAUUAGAUACCCGAGUAGUC